GCAAAUCAACAGAACUUACUUCAACUUAUGAAAACUACACUGAAAUCUAAUGGAAGAAUUUAUUUAGCUGCAAAAACAUAUUAUUUUGGAGUUGGCGGUGGAAUGCGUCAGUUUGAAGAGGAAGUUGGGAAAGAAGGAAUAUUUACUGCUGAAGUUUGUCAGGUUUUUAAUAAAGAUGUUCAAAGAGAAAUUAUACUUCUCCAAUUCAGAUAAUAAAUAAAAUGAUUUCAGUUUAUUAA